rnacentral:sRNA from 1 species
UGUCUAGAAUGGUGUCUUGGUUUCCUU